CAGUAGCCGCGGUAAUACGAAGGGGGCUAGCGUUGCUCGGAAUGACUGGGCGUAAAGGGCGCGUAGGCGGCUUGUACAGUCAGAUGUGAAAUUCCUGGGCUUAACCUGGGGGCUGCAUUUGAUACUGUCGGGCUUGAGUAUGGAAGAGGGUCGUGGAAUUCCCAGUGUAGAGGUGAAAUUCGUAGAUACUGGGAAGAACACCGGUGGCGAAGGCGGCGACCUGGUCCAUAACUGACGCUGAGGCGCGAAAGCGUGGGGAGCAAACAGGAUUAGAUACCCCAGUAGUCCCUGUCUCUUAUAA
rnacentral:rRNA from 1 species